CAUUUGCGCAAAUGUGAGGAUGGCUGUUCAGGCUCUGCACCUGAAGGUGGCGCUGCUGGGCCAAGACUGUGUAGUCAUCGUCACUGGGUUUUGACAAGUUGUCUCCAAUGUCCCCUACUAAAUGUUUUGCAGGAUAAAGUGUUGUUUAGUUGUUUGGUGUGCACUUCUGCUCUGGGAAAAGCAUGUGAGGUUUGACUGAUAACAAGGGUGACCCUCGCAUGGUGGGUUAUUAGGAUGGCCCGGUAACUCAUUUCCCAGACCCAACACUUGAGGAAUAGAGGGUGUUCUAGCCAGGCCAUUCCGGGUAAACCAGAAGAGACCAGGAAUUUGCCAUUGCCUGGGCUUGGUCCUGUCCUCCCUAACGAGUUACUUACAAACCACAGAAUGGGUGUUAGAGUUGCUGCCCCGCACUGUGCGUGCUUUCCUGUUCUUGAAUACCUGUUCUGUCUCUAGAUUAAAGUCACCGUUGCAGGCUUGGCUGGGAAGGACCCCGUGCAGUGUAGCCGUGAUGUAGUGAUUUGUCCGGAUACCAGUCUGGAAGAAGCAAAAACACAGGGACCAUACGAUGUGGUUGUUCUUCCAGGAGGAAAUCUGGGUGCACAGAACUUAUCUGAGGUAAAAACUGCACUGUCACAAAA
rnacentral:lncRNA from 1 species